rfam:Dichomitus squalens LYAD-421 SS1 unplaced genomic scaffold DICSQscaffold_52, whole genome shotgun sequence.
GGCGAUAUGGCCGAGCGGUCUAAGCCGCCAGAAUCAGGAGGAUUUCAACCCUCUUCCUUAUCUGGUCCUCACGGGCGUGGGUUCGAAUCCCACUGUCGUCA